rnacentral:rRNA from 1 species
AGUGAACGCUGGCGGUAGGCCUAACGCAUGCAAGUCGAACGGCAGCACAGUAAGAGCUUGCUCUUACGGGUGGCGAGUGGCGGACGGGUGAGGAAUACAUCGGAAUCUACUUUUUCGUGGGGGAUAACGUAGGGAAACUUACGCUAAUACCGCAUACGACCUACGGGUGAAAGCAGGGGAUCUUCGGACCUUGCGCGAUUGAAUGAGCCGAUGUCGGAUUAGCUAGUUGGCGGGGUAAAGGCCCACCAAGGCGACGAUCCGUAGCUGGUCUGAGAGGAUGAUCAGCCACACUGGAACUGAGACACGGUCCAGACUCCUACGGGAGGCAGCAGUGGAGAAUAUUGGACAAUGGGCGCAAGCCUGAUCCAGCCAUACCGCGUGGGUGAAGAAGGCCUUCGGGUUGUAAAGCCCUUUUGUUGGGAAAGAAAAGCAGCAGGUUAAUACCCCGCUGUUCUGACGGUACCCAAAGAAUAAGCACCGGCUAACUUCGUG